ensembl:lncRNA
GACAAAAGUAACAAAUGAGCUUUAUUAUUGCCAUUGUGGCUCAGUUUUAACAGUAAGAGUGUUAGGGCUAGCAGCAAUGCUAACACUAACUGAAGUGCUAACGUUAGCAGGAAUGCUAGCGCUAGCAGCAAUGCUAAGACUGGUAAAAGUCUAACAGGAGCCUUACAUAAGUGGAAAUACUUCAGUUAAAUAGUUUGAAUUAUAAAAUGGCUGCUGUAUCAGCUGGUGUGCUAUAUUACUCUAUAAUUACCCUGCUGACUAUAAGUUCAGUGUAUCAUGUCGUGUGGGUUUUGUAUUUCUGUUAGUCUGAUAACACUGUACAGACAACUAACAUAUUGUUUCUCGUCUUACACUUUCAGGAACUUGACUCACAUCUGUGCUUUGCCUGUGUGCAGAAGAAGAACAAGGACCAGAUCUCCAGUCUUCUCUCUCACAUCCCAACCCCCCAACCCCUCUAUCCUCUGUACUGCUCCACCUGUUGUCUCUGCCUUCUUUCCAUCUGUAUUUCACCCUGUGGUUUGUGAGAAAUUUUGCCAAACCAAGAAUCUUAUUGCGGUUUGAUUUCAAAACCGUGUCUCUCCUGCUCUGUCUG